AGAGUUUGAUCAUGGCUCAGAGCGAACGCUGGCGGCAGGCCUAAUACAUGCAAGUCGAGCGCACCUUCGGGUGAGCGGCGGACGGGUGAGUAACGCGUGGGAACGUGCCCUUUGGUACGGAACAACUGAGGGAAACUUCAGCUAAUACCGUAUGUGCCCUUCGGGGGAAAGAUUUAUCGCCAUUGGAGCGGCCCGCGUUGGAUUAGGUAGUUGGUGAGGUAAAGGCUCACCAAGCCUACGAUCCAUAGCUGGUCUGAGAGGAUGAUCAGCCACACUGGGACUGAGACACGGCCCAGACUCCUACGGGAGGCAGCAGUAGGGAAUCUUGCGCAAUGGGCGAAAGCCUGACGCAGCCAUGCCGCGUGAAUGAUGAAGGUCUUAGGAUUGUAAAAUUCUUUCACCGGGGAAGAUAAUGACGGUACCCGGAGAAGAAGCCCCGGCUAACUUCGUGCCAGCAGCCGCGGUAAUACGAAGGGGGCUAGCGUUGCUCGGAAUUACUGGGCGUAAAGGGCGCGUAGGCGGAUAGUUUAGUCAGAGGUGAAAGCCCAGGGCUCAACCCUGGAAUUGCCUUUGAUACUGGCUAUCUUGAGUUCGGGAGAGGUGAGUGGAACUCCGAGUGUAGAGGUGAAAUUCGUAGAUAUUCGGAAGAACACCAGUGGCGAAGGCGACUCACUGGCCCGAUACUGACGCUGAGGCGCGAAAGCGUGGGGAGCAAACAGGAUUAGAUACCCUAGUAGUCC
rnacentral:rRNA from 1 species